CAUGGGCAAAUCAUACAAUGGUUUGAGUGAAAAAUAGUUUAGACACAUGCAAGGUGCAAUAGCUUUACUAUAUAAAAUGUGUAAUCCAGUAAAAUCACUGCACAAGAUAUAUAAAGGAUUUUUUCUAAAGAACAGAAGCUAAAUGAAUGCAUUUUGAAAUAUGUAUCUAUAAAGCAUGAUCUAUACUAGUGCUGUUAUUGAUAGAUACUUUGAACAAAAAAUACAGUUAGAUAUGAUGUAUAGUAUUUACACCAGAAAAUACAAAAUAAAAUUCCUUGACACAUUUUUUACUUUCACUAAUCUUUUGGAAAAAACAUGCCUAAUAGAAGACUUGUGCAAAGAAAAGAUCAAAAACAAAGUUGAAAGAAACAACAACAAAAGAAUUACUGCAGUUUUUUCCAUGAUGUGGGGCACUUUAAUGAAGAAUAUAGGAAAUUUGCAGCUAUCAAAGUCAGAAAAUUAAAACAGGCCAAUAAACAAUUGUAAAGUCUGACUGCUAGGAAAGAGAACUAAUUCUCAGAUUGCAUGCUACAAAUGUGAUAAACUGGGCAUAUUCAUGCUAUCCGCAUGUAUAUUCCUCCUUUAUACCACAUAAUGAUUCAUCUUCAUUAGACUUGUGUUUUAAAAUUAACAGAUGUUUUUCAAGUCAACCCAUUUCCAUGCCUAGUCAUGAAAAUCAGUGUAUUAGGUGCUAACGGUAUUGGGGUUGUUGAUACAGCUGCAAAAGUUAAUGUCGAUUUCUUAGUCAUUAUAUAAAGUUUUAUUAAUACGUUAAGUGUCUCGCAUAUCAAUUCCCACCUGUAAUUGUAUGCCAGCCAGUAUAGGUAUUCCUCAUGUAACAACCUACCUGUUUGACUGCUUAAACUUACAUCUGAGCUUACAACUAUUUUUUUUAACAGAAAACUUGGUUUUCACCAUGCAUGUUGCUUACAUUCUAUUGCAUGUAAUUUCCUGCACUCGUAAUUCCAAAAAUCUGAAGAAAAAUACUUUGUGCAUAAUUAAGAUAUAAAUGUCUUAUUAUAUAUGGGUAUGGUGUAUAUCCCGGAGUGUUUGUGGUUGGGUUGGAGUUUGAUAUUCUUUAUCAUGUGAUACGUGGCAUUGGGUCUGCUGUAUGGUAGUGUGAAGUUUUUC
rnacentral:lncRNA from 1 species